rnacentral:tRNA from 1 species
GGGGAUUUAGCUCAGUGGUAGAGCGCUUGCCUAGCAAAUGCAAGGCCCUGGGUUCAGUUCCCAGCUCCA